rnacentral:lncRNA from 1 species
AAUCAUUGCCAAUCAUUGGGUUCGAACGAUUUUUCCCUGAUUCCCAGAAGCUUCUGCACUCAAUCCUCACCUUCAGCACACGCUCAUCCUCCAUUGUUGUGGGAGCUUCAUCAUUCGAAGCUCCACACGGCAGAGCUAAGCCACCACUUCAACCUCCUCUUCCACCUCGGUUCUUCAACCGCAUUCACUGUACCAACCUCCGAUCAUCCUCGUAGAAUCUUCAACCACCGUAACCGAUUCACGACACCUUCACCGUCAACAAUCAACAUCUCACCGGAAUCGCUCCAAGAAAGGAAGAAGAAGAAGAG